UGGGGAAUAUUGGACAAUGGGCGCAAGCCUGAUCCAGCCAUGCCGCGUGAGUGAUGAAGGCCCUAGGGUUGUAAAGCUCUUUCACCGGUGAAGAUAAUGACGGUAACCGGAGAAGAAGCCCCGGCUAACUUCGUGCCAGCAGCCGCGGUAAUACGAAGGGGGCUAGCGUUGUUCGGAUUUACUGGGCGUAAAGCGCACGUAGGCGGACUUUUAAGUCAGGGGUGAAAUCCCGGGGCUCAACCCCGGAACUGCCUUUGAUACUGGAAGUCUUGAGUAUGGUAGAGGUGAGUGGAAUUCCGAGUGUAGCGGUGAAAUGCGUAGAUAUUGGGAGGAACACCAGUAGCGAAGGCGGCUUUCUGGACUGCAACUGACACUGAGGCACGAAAGCGUGGGUAGCAAACAGG
rnacentral:rRNA from 1 species